rnacentral:rRNA from 1 species
GAUGAACGCUGGCGGCGUGCCUAAUACAUGCAAGUCGAGCGAAUGGAUUAAGAGCUUGCUCUUAUGAAGUUAGCGGCGGACGGGUGAGUAACACGUGGGUAACCUGCCCAUAAGACUGGGAUAACUCCGGGAAACCGGGGCUAAUACCGGAUAACAUUUUGAACCGCAUGGUUCGAAAUUGAAAGGCGGCUUCGGCUGUCACUUAUGGAUGGACCCGCGUCGCAUUAGCUAGUUGGUGAGGUAACGGCUCACCAAGGCAACGAUGCGUAGCCGACCUGAGAGGGUGAUCGGCCACACUGGGACUGAGACACGGCCCAGACUCCUACGGGAGGCAGCAGUAGGGAAUCUUCCGCAAUGGACGAAAGUCUGACGGAGCAACGCCGCGUUAGUGAUGAAGGCUUUCGGGUCGUAAAACUCUGUUGUUAGGAAGAACAAGUGCUAGUUGAAUAAGCUGACACCUUGACGGUACCUAACCAGAAAGCCACGGCUAACUACGUGCCAGCAGCCGCAGUAA